UUGGAAAAUGAGAGACUGUCACUUUUAAGUGAGGUGAAGAAGAGAAACAAUCGUACAGUGAUAAAGUCGAAAAUGGACAAGACUUUUUCAGUGCGAAGACAAGAAAUUGUGGAAAAGGAAUUGGGAGUGGAAGAGUUGAAAGAGAGAUGGCCUGCAUUGUUCUCAGUGGAUGAGAUCAAUGCUGAAUUUACAAGAAUUACAACUGUGCCACUUCAACCGCGCUUCCUCGCUGCCUUGGACAAGCACUACGGCAGACUGAUGGAGAUCAUCAAAAAAAAGGAGGAGUUAUCGGAGAGAAAACCCGGAACAUACUGAAAGUUAUUGAUCACAGCCUUGAGGUGAAUCUAAAAAGAGUGUGUCUGCUUAAGUGCCUGAUUGUAUACCUUGGGGAAGAUGGGGAC